rnacentral:rRNA from 1 species
CACGUAGGGCGCAAGCGUUGUCCGGAAUUAUUGGGCGUAAAGAGCUCGUAGGCGGUCUGUUGCGUCCGCUGUGAAAACUCGGGCUUAACCCCGAGCCUGCAGUGGAUACGGGCAGACUAGAGGUAGGUAGGGGAGAAUGGAAUUCCCGGUGUAGCGGUGAAAUGCGCAGAUAUCGGGAGGAACACCGGUGGCGAAGGCGGUUCUCUGGGCCUUACCUGACGCUGAGGAGCGAAAGUGUGGGGAGCGAACAGG